UACGUAGGGUGCGAGCGUUUAAUCGGAAUUACUGGGCGUAAAGCGUGCGUAGGCGGUUCGUUAAGUUCGUUGUGAAAGCCCCGGGCUCAACCUGGGAAUGGCAAUGGAAACUGGCGGCUGGAGUAUGGCAGAGGGGGGGUGGAAUUCCGCGUGUAGCAGUGAAAUGCGUAGAGAUGCGGAGGAACACCGAUGGCGAAGGCAGCCCCCUGGGCCAAUACUGACGCUCAGGCACGAAAGCGUGGGGGAGCAAACAGG
rnacentral:rRNA from 1 species